GUAAGACAGUGCCUGGGCUGGCACCAUGGACAGAGGCCCCCCAUGAAGUGGCUGGAGUUGUAGACAGUACAUUCCUGCCAAAUCUUACUCACGUAUAACAUUCUUCCUGAGAGCCCACACCCAUCUCCAGCCCACGUGGGAUUUUGUGCCUAAAGCAGAGAGCCCUUUCCAAACAAGAGCAGCCCACGGCCUCACUGGAGACCAGGUGGCAGAGCGUUUGGCACAGGGACAUCAGCCCAAGUUUCCCACCUUCCAAGUCUGCCUUCCAAAUCACCACAUCCCCAUGUUUCAGUGCAGAUUGAAUGACACUUUGUUUCACUGGAAAUUUUUGCAAGAUCUGCCUACAAGGAAUCAGCUGUCUAGAAGAUGCUGUUAAACUCUCUUUAAAAGAGAAAGAGAAAUUCUAGAGAUAUUUGUGCUGACUGCCCCUAAUCAUUAUUGGUCAUCAUCAUCCCAAUUUCAUGUACAUGUCCUCUGGAGGUCCCAUCUGGUCUGUGCUCCUGUCUGCUCAAUCACAUCUUCCUCAGGCACAGGUGACUCCAUCCUGCACCUUUCAGGAGCACUUCUUUGAAACUGGGCAUAAACUAUCUGCAAAAUUCAUCUUGUUACGUGAUUCGCACAAGAGGCUAUGGUACACACAUAGUUUGCCUUUGUCAGCUGAUUCUUACUAGAAUAAACCAGUAUUGCUUGGUUUGAUUUGCUUUUGUCUCAUUUUGUUUCAAACAAGGCAAAGCAUGCCACCGUUUAGCAAGAAUUUGCCUUUCCAUAGUCUUAUUUUUUAAAAAUACAUAUUUACCAGAGAGUUUAAGUUUUUACAAAUAAACAAAAAAUCAUCUUCAGGGAAAAUGUAAGAAGUUUCCAAGUCAUAAUUUUACUGGAAGUAAGAGCAUGCAAAAUUGCAGUAGAAGUUGCUGCGUGUUUUCAACCUUAGUGGAAGCCAAUAGGUAGCCUAUGUAUUACAGCUGCAAAAUGCAAACAUUUUAUGUGAUGUGUUGUUGUGAUAUGGUAAUUUUAUGCUUUCCACUUUACAGAUUUGGAACUAAAAAAUUUAGAGUCCAGUUUGCUCCCAUCACAAGAAUUACUUGCAGAGCUUCUAGAAGCAUAUUCCACAUGUGCCCAUGAUGAAUGCCAGAAACAGUAAAUGAACAUCAUUUAUGGUGGCUCUGUUGUUAUCUACAGCUACAGAGAGCACAGAAUAAAGCUAUGCUUUUGAAAGUU